CAUUGGUUAGUCUCUCCUUUGCUUCAUGCAAGUCUUCCUCUUUCUCAGUAAUUUUAAUUGAAAGCAAAGGUCAUCCACCAUGAACAUACUUCUGAGAUCCUGCACAGCAAUAAAAAGAAAAUAUUUCAUACAGACGGUUCUCAAUACACUCAUAGAACCAACCGCAACAUGAAAACUAUUUGAUGUUAGAGAAUUAUUUUGUAUACACAGUAUCCCUUUGCAUCAACCUGCAUAUUGGUCCAUAAUGUCACUGCAGCUUCUUGUAUUGUUAUAUUAUGGCAAAAUAGACAGCAACUAUAAUCAUCUAGAUCAUAACCACUAGAGUAAGAAAAUUAGAUUUGAGAAGCAGUAUGGCAACCAUUUUAUGACAGUUAUGGAAAUUUAUAUUAAUGCAAUGCACGAAUGAAGAGUAUUUCUGAGGAGAAAAGGUUCUUAACCGAGUACAGCAUAAACAUCAUUAGCUCAACAUCAAUGAUAACUAAAGCUUGCAUGCCUUGGCAAAAUCUACCAUUGCAUAUAAAUAACCACAGCUAGUCAAAGUCGGGAAACUAGAUUGAAUGAUCUACUUGAGCUAUGUGGUUCUAAAAUUCAAGCUGAAUUCCUCUUUGAAAGGGAUGGGCGAUUCCAAGGAGUUUGCUGGGGAGCUUUUUGUCACCUUAGCAAGACGGAGGAACCUGGAACCAGAGAAUGGAAUUACAAAAGAUAAAUUAAAGGAGUUCUGGGAAGAGAUGACAGAUCAAAACUUUGAUUCCUCCCUACGGAUAUUCUUCGACAUGUAAUCAUCUCCUUCCUCUCUCUUUUUCAGCACUUGACAAUGCAGUUAUUACAUGAUGCGAGCUGAUCUGUUGCAUUAGGUGCGACAAGAAUGGUGAUGGAAAACUUACAGAAGAUGAGGUGAAAGAGGUCUGCAGUUGAAAUCCUUUAAAUUACUGUCAAUUCCCUGUCCAGAAAUGCUUUUAUCAGUUAAGAUUUGGGGUAAAAUAUUGAUUUAGAUCUCUGUCUUCAUUCAAAGGUCAUCAUUUUGAGCGCCUCAGCAAACAAACUUGCAACAUUGAAGGGGCACGCUGCAACCUAUGCUGCCCUCAUAAUGGAGGAACUAGAUCCUGACCAUCUUGGCUAUAUUGAGGUACUGAGAAACCUGUUAUAAUUUCCAAUAAUUUUUGGAAGUUGCCAAAUUUGUUCAAACAUGAGAUCUAGCAGAUAAAAGAGAGUGAUACUUACCAUUAUCGAUCACUUCACCAGAUUUGGCAGCUUGAAACAUUGCUGCGAGGGAUGGUGAACUCACAGGGAAACGAGAAAAUAGUCAAAUGUAGUCGUAGCGUUGCAAGAACAAUGACACCAAAGUGGUACAGAAACCCAAUCAACAGAAGUGUCGGCAAGACAGCAGAUUUCAUUCAUGAGAACUGGAAGAGGAUAUGGGUUCUUUCGCUAUGGCUGGCACUGAACAUAGAACUAUUUCUAUGGAAAUUCUUCCAGUACAGGAGGAGAUCAACAUAUGAAGUGAUGGGCUAUUGUGUCUGUGUAGCCAAGGGUGCAGCAGAGACCCUGAAACUGAACAUGGCACUCAUUCUCCUUCCCGUUUGUCGAAACACUCUUACAAGGCUCAGAUCAACGGCAUUUAGUUCAGUCAUCCCGUUUGAUGACAACAUUAACUUCCACAAGGUAAGGAGGCCCUUCCACCACCAAAUCUACUGAAAAGAUCUUUAACACAAUAUUUAUUUAUCUUUCGAUUUGCCAUCUUUUGCAGACAAUUGCAUUGGCCAUCACAAUUGGGAUUGUUAUCCAUACAAUUGCUCAUGUAGCAUGUGAUUUUCCAAGAUUAAUCACAUGCCCAAAGCCAAAAUUAAUUAAUUUAUUAGGACCCAGUUUCAGCUAUCAGCAACCCACAUAUUUAACUCUAUUAUCCAGCGCUCCAGGGGUCACUGGUGUCCUCAUGGUCAUCAUAAUGAUAUUCUCUUUCACCCUAGCAACACAUUCUUUCAGGAGAAGUGUGGUGAAGUUGCCAUCACCUCUGCACCAUUUGGCUGGAUUCAAUGCAUUUUGGUAUGCGCACCAUCUUCUGGUGCUUGUGUAUGUCCUCCUUGUUGUGCAUUCCUACUUCAUUUAUCUCACUAGGGAAUGGUACAAGAAGACGGUAGGGCCCUGCCUUCUCUGUGGUACACAAAUAUCCCCAUCAUUAUCAGCAAACAUCAAUGAUAUGAAGCAAAAAUCUAAUGUUUGUGCAGACAUGGAUGUACCUAUCAAUUCCAGUCCUCUUUUAUGCCUGUGAAAGACUAAUCAGAAAAUUUCGUGAGAGAAACUAUUGUGUGAGCAUUGUUAAGGUAAGGUACACGUCAUGAUAUAUAUAACUUCAAGUAGUAGGAGAAUGAACAUUCACUGUCAAAUCAACAGGCAGCAAUAUAUCCAGGCAAUGUGCUUUCAAUACAUAUGAAAAAGCCACCAGGGUUCAAAUAUAAGAGUGGAAUGUACCUGUAUGUCAAAUGUCCAGAUGUCUCACCCUUCGAAUGGUAUAUGUUAACCAGCUCUCAAGAUAUUAUGUCUCAAUUAUAAUUUUCCUGUAUUCAGCUUCUAAUUUGAUUUUAACAGGCACCCCUUCUCCAUCACUUCUGCACCAGGAGAUGACUACUUGAGUGUUCAUAUCCAGACCUUGGGAGACUGGACAACAGAGCUUAGGAAUUUAUUUGGAAAGGUUAGGUCAAGUCAAUAAAAGCAACUUGAAAUUCUAGGGAAUACUAAAUUAUGAAGGCCAGAAUAACUAAAGCAAACUUCUCUGAUACAGGUUUGUGAGUCUCAAGUUGUGUCUAAGAAGGCCAACCUAGUUAGACUUGAAACAGCAGUUGCAGCAGAUGCUCAAAUUCAAGAAACUAGGUGAGCAGAAAAUAUAUUAUUGUUUUUACCAACUCACUCUGCGCGAAAUUUCAGCAACCCCCCAGCUUCCCAUAGUAAUAGAACUCUCUUGCAGAUUCCCAAAGCUCCUGAUAGAUGGGCCUUAUGGUUCACCAGCUCAAAAUUACAAAAAAUAUGAUAUUCUUUUGCUCAUCGGGCUCGGAAUUGGUGCAACUCCAUUUAUCAGCAUACUAAAGGAUCUCCUCAACAAUCUGAAGUCAAAUGAGGUAAGUUAUAUGCAAUACUGUUUUGAGUGUAUAAAAGAUAUCACUAAACAAAAAGAACACCACUAACAAGCUUGACACUGAUGUAGGAAAUACAGAAUAUACACAAGGCAGAUGUAAACAACAUGAAAGGAAAUGGUCCGGGAAGAGCUUACUUUUAUUGGGUGACAAGGGAACAAGGUUCCUUUGAAUGGUUUAAAGGUGUCAUGAAUGAUGUGGCAGAAAAUGAUGAUAAUGUACUUCAUAGAAAAUCUAUUGCUUCCUUUACCCUCUACUCUGCAGUUCCAUUUUCCUUUGCAGAUUAACUGGUUAAAAGUGUUUGGCUAUUGCAGAAUGUUAUAGAAAUGCACAACUAUUUGACCAGUGUGUAUGAAGAAGGUGAUGCAAGGUCAGCUCUGAUUGCAAUGGUUCAGUCAAUACAACUUGCCAAGAAUGAUGUUGAUAUCAUCUCUGGCAAUCGGGUAAUUAUCUUUCAGGUAUAAUUUUGGUGCAAUCAAGCAAAAGAAUACAUAUUCUUAUUUCUGACUCAUUCAUGACAGAUUCGGACCCACUUUGCAAGGCCAAACUGGAGGAAAGUGUUCUCAGACUUAGCCAAUACCCACAAGUCUUCUCAUAUAGGUAAGAUUUUCUCAAGUAAUCUGGGCAUUUGAAUUAUUUAUGCACUUCAUAAUUUAUGGACUGCAGGUGUUUUCUACUGUGGAUCCCCAACCCUUACAAAACAACUGAGACAUCUUUCACAAGAAUUCAGCCAUACUACCAGAACCCGCUUCCAUUUCCACAAGGAGAACUUUUAAAAUGGAGCAAAGAUAUAUUGAUGAACAACAUAUACUUGUACAGAAAAAGGAAAAGAAGAGAGGCAGAAGUAUGACAUGUUUUGUUAGAUAUCCUAUGUACAGAAUUUCUAUUUCUAGUUGUUUUUAGUUAUCUUUGCAUCAUACACAUACAUGGAGAGUAAGUCCAACCAACAAAAACUUCAAAUGAGUGAGACAUGAUUUUCUGUUCAGCUUUUAUUAACACAAGUGUAAGGAUUAUUCAGGAAAGUUCUUUUAUUCCAAGAGAAGUACUUUGAACCAAUAAUUCUCUUUUCUUUUGCUUUUCGGCUGUAGCAGUUCUCUCACUUUGUUUCUGAAAUUUUCUAUGCCUCUUUGAAGUUCUUGUGUAGUUACUUCCUUAUUUGGAGUAGCCCGUAUUAAUUGUCUUCCACCUUCUGAUACAGUUGUACUGGUCUUUUGCAACAACCCCAACAAAUUCACCAUGCUUGCUGCAUUCUGAUAAUUUUCUGACCUAGCUGCAUCUUUGCCUGGUUCAGAUACAGGCUUGUCAGAGUAGCACACUUACAACGAAGUUUUAGUACUUUCUUUCUGAAUCAUGCUCUGCCUCCUUUUGCUGCCAAAAAAUCUACUUCUAAUUGCUUUUCACCCCUUAAUUCACUCGUUUGGGAUGCUUCAUGGAGCUCCAAUGUCUUCUUUGUGCUUCCUACACUUUUAGUGUGGAUAUUUCACACUUGGGCUUUUAGUGUAAUGGGAAUGUCGAGCAGUAACAACAUAUCCUCCAGUUCAUGCCACUCAAGAUCUUCAAGAUCACCAUCUUGUUUUAGUUCACACAAUCUCUCCUUUCGCUUAACUCAUACAGUGCUGACGAUGAAGAAACUAAACCAUGCAUGCAGGUGACCUAAAAGAAUUUUAUCAGAUGGAUUAAAUAGGAUGCUAGCAAGAACCAAAAUGGGGGGAAAAACACAACACUGAUAGAAGAUGUGAAAAUCUAUAGGCAAUCUAGCAAAUCUUUAUUUAGCAUGGAGUUCAGAAAUCCAUAAUCAUGAGAACCAUAUCCAAUGCAAAUAGAUCAGACGUCAGAUAACUUAUGCUGCAUGAUAUUCUCUUGAAAAUGGCACCCAAGGAAAGAGAUUGAAUAGCCUCGUAGCAUAUAUUACCUUGACUUCAAAUGAGCUACUCCUAGAAUCCUGGUUGGAUACAUUGAUAUCACACAUUCAACUUAGGAAUCCCUCAACAAAUUAUGUGCACUAAACUCCUAGAAAGAACCAGCACCAAGCCCACCCUUGCACAGGUCCAUCUGCCCUCAGGUAUGCUGUCUCGAUACCAAGCUCUGUACCGGUGCCACUCUAUUACUGUGUCAGCAUAUGCCCGGUACUAUAUACUGUUCGGCCGUACUAUCCAAUUCGGUACGGUAUGGUAUACCUUGAUAUGCUCCCUUGGAUUGGCAUUUGGACAUAGUUAAGAGCAUCAUAUAGAGCAACUACCUUACCGUCCUCAUCCAAUGCUGCCCCCUCUGCUCAUUUUCCUACAUAAACUUAAAGAUGGUGUACAUCCCGCUAGUUUCAAGGCAAAACCAUAUUCAACUUGUUCCAAUAAGAGAUGACAUCGCAAAUAACAACAGGAUAUCAAAUAACAAAUCAAAGUGGAAAAAAAAGGAACAGUUAUUCUUAUUUGUCCGAAAUUACUAAGAGAUAGGGCACGGACCUCACAAAUAACAAGAGAAUAUCAAAUCUUUCUGUUCUCCACCCCCACUCCCCCUUUCAGAGAUAUCAUGUUCAAAUAAUUAACUUCUUAAAACCGUAUCCAAAGUUCAAAAAAGCCACAGCAUCGUUACCCAUUUAAACGAUAUGCCGACUCCUGCCACCAAAAGCCGUAAAAGUUUAAUCUUUUCCUUCCCUUCCACUUCCCUGAAACCUUGCUCCGGGAUUUCGAGCUCGAAUCGAGCUACGGCCGUGCUCAGCCAUGCCUGCUUAACCUGAGUUCGCGGACCACUCGAACAAUCAGACUCCCAAGCCCAGCACCUAGGUUUACAUCUAUCUAGGGUUUGAAAACGGGGUGUUUUGGAAUCGGGAUCACGGCGCGAGACGAAGAUCACCGCCGGGACUCGAAGAGGAGGAGGAAAGAGAGAAAGAAAGAUAGGGUUUUGAGUGGAAGACCUAGAGAGAAGAGAUCCAAAGAACGAACUCCGUCGAUUCUGCGACCUCCAUCGCCGUCGUCGCCACCGCCGCCGGCGGGGUGACGGGGUGGGGAGAGGGAGCAACGGUGACCAGGAGGGGUAGGACGAACCUGG
rnacentral:lncRNA from 1 species